GGGGUCGUAGCUCCGUUGGUAGAGCGUCUCGUUCGCAAUGAGAAGGUCAGGGGUUCAAUCCCCCUCGACUCCACCA
rnacentral:tRNA from 1 species